CCGACUCCCUCCUGUUGCUGCAAAGACAAACCAGCAGCGUGAUCACAUCCUUUGGGGACAGCUCUGCUCAAGCCAGAGGCCAGUCUUGGCAGGAAUACAAGCCAGUUACACAGUGCUGUAGCUCUGCCAUGGAUGCAACAAAUCCCAGGGAAGGAGGGGAGAGGCAGAAGAACAGGUGGAACUCCAAGACAGUGAAAUGAGAGUGCCACAGGGAACUGCAGCUUGUAUGACUGCCAGAAGCCAAGUCUGUAGCACUGCUUGGAAAGCAGGAGACCAGUGUGAGGUGUCUGAAUUACUUGAAGAUACUAAUCUACUUUCAGAUGCUAUAUUUCUUGGGCACUCAUCUCUUCUACAAGGGAAACUUGCUGCAAGCAACCUGUUGGAUAUAUUCAGUAAUGAUGGCACUUCCAGGAAAUUGCCAUGUCCUGCAGCAAAGGAUGGAGUGCAGUAUAUGGGCCUCUCCUUUCUUUUGAGAAAGGUGCAGCAUGUCCAAAGUGGGCAGCUCUGCUACAGAGCAUCCCUCUCACUGGAGUACAGCAGAGCUCCUUUGUGCUUGUUUGAUAGAAAUCAUGGAUGGUCUCAGACCAAAUGAGACUGUGAGUGGCAGUGCAACAGCAAGAGAAGGAAUGUUAAUGACCAGAACAUAUGGGACAAAUACAGAUUUCAACUUCUAUUCCUUGUCAUACAGCUGUGUGGUUCUCCUUGUACCAUGCUCCAUUAUAUACACAAUCUUAAUGAUCACUGAAGUUUGAAUGACCAAAAAGUAGUUACGUUCUAUUUUCAAACACAUUUAACUCAAAGAACAAACCCAAUAGCUUCUGAAUUCUAGUGACAGCAUUACAAGAAGGCCCUGUGUGAACUAUGAUGAGGGCAGGAAGGUGUGACUAAAGACUUAAAGUCUAGGGGUUUUGUUCUCCAAAAGCAAAACAAAGGACUGUACACUCAAAGUACAAGGAAGUCAGUGAAGCUGAAACCACGGGGGAUGAAGUGUCCACUCUUACAGCACUUUCAGAUUUAGAGGACAGAGCAAUUUAGUAAACCCCAGAGAGGAGAAGAUGGAAUCAUAGACGAAUUCUUGCAGAUUACGAAUCAUGCCUGACUGACUGCAGGAGCAAGAGAAGCAAAACACACAGCCCCAAAACACUGUCAAAGCUGACAUACUUUUGAGAAGUGACAUAAAAUCCCACAGAAAGAGGCAAGGGUAUGUGGCUUGGGGGCAUCAACUGUUCUUUCAGAAUAUUGGAAAUGUGG